AGUAAAGAGUUCAGUUUAGGGUGUAAAACCUUAAUGCUGACUAAAGGAAAAAGUUCAGUUUAGGAUUUAAAACCCUAAUGUUGACUGAAUGGAAAAAGUUCAGUUUAGGGUUUAAAACCCUAAUGCUGACUGAAGGAAAGAGUUCAGUUUAGGGUUUAAAACCCUAAUGCUGACUAAAUGAAAGAGUUCAGUUUAGGGUUUAAACCCCUAAUGCUGACUGAAUGGAAAAAGUUCAGUUUAGGGUUUAAACCCCUAAUGCUUACUAAAGGAAAAGAGUUCAGUUUAGGGUUUAAAACCCUAAUGCUGACUAAAGGAAAAAGUUCAGUUUAGGGUUUAAAACCCUAAUGCUGACUGAAUGGAAAAAGUUCAGUUUAGGGUUUAAAACCCUAAUGUUGACUAAAUGAAAAGAAUUC
rnacentral:lncRNA from 1 species